rnacentral:lncRNA from 1 species
CAUAUGUUAGAUCGUCCGUAACUUUUAUUCCGUGUGUCGGAACGAGGCGUGUAGCAUAUGGAUUUCGCAUAGUUUUGCGCGUAGAAUACGUUGUUGCAACUUGCAUAAUUGUUUGACAUAGUUUGAGCCGCCAUAUGCCUAGGUUUACGUGCUGUCUAGAUAGGUUAGUGCCCGUAUUUAUUUUUCACGCAAGUCCGGAUUGAUCGUAUGCCGUAGAUAAAAUGCC